rnacentral:rRNA from 1 species
CGCGUAGGUGGCUUGGUAAGCGUGUGGUGAAAGCCCGGGGCUCAACCCCGGGUCUGCCGUGCGAACUGCCUGGCUUGAGCGUAGUAGAGGCAGGUGGAAUUUCGGGUGUAGCGGUGGAAUGCGUAGAGAUCCGAAAGAACACCGGUGGCGAAGGCGGCCUGCUGGGCUACUGCUGACACUGAGGCGCGACAGCGUGGGGGAGCAAAACA